UGCCAGUAGUCAUAUGCUUGUCUUAAAGAUUAAGCCAUGCAUGUCUAAGUAUAAGCAAUUAUACAGCGAAACUGCGAAUGGCUCAUUAAAUCAGUUAUCGUUUAUUUGAUAGUACCUUACUACAUGGAUAACCGUGGUAAUUCUAGAGCUAAUACAUGCUGAAAACCCCGACUUCGGAAGGGGUGUAUUUAUUAGAUUAAAAACCAAUGCCCUCCGGGGCUCACUGGUGAUUCAUGAUAACUUCUCGAAUCGCACGGCCUUGCGCCGGCGAUGGUUCAUUCAAAUUUCUGCCCUAUCAACUUUCGACGGCUGGGUCUUGGCCAGCCGUGGUGACAACGGGUAACGGAGGGUUAGGGCUCGACCCCGGAGAAAACGCCUGAGAAACGGCGUUUACAUCCAAGGAAGGCAGCAGGCGCGCAAAUUACCCAAUGCCGACACGGCGAGGUAGUGACGAGAAAUACUGAUACAGGGCUCUUUUGGGUCUUGUAAUUGGAAUGAGUACAAUUUAAAUCUCUUAACGAGGAACAAUUGGAGGGCAAGUCUGGUGCCAGCAGCCGCGGUAAUUCCAGCUCCANUAGCGU
rnacentral:rRNA from 1 species